rnacentral:rRNA from 1 species
UGCCAGCAGCCGCGGUAAUACGAAUGGGGCAAGCGUUGUUCGGAAUCACUGGGCUUAAAGCGUGCGUAGGCGGAAAUGAAAGUCAGAAGUGAAAUCCCAGGGCUCAACCCUGGAACUGCUUUUGAAACUCCAUUUCUAGAAUUCGGUAGAGGUCAGGAGAAUUCCUAGUGUAGAGGUGAAAUUCGCAGAUAUUAGGAGGAAUACCAGUGGCGUAGGCGCCUGACUGGGCCGAUAUUGACGCUGAGGUACGAAAGCGUGGGGAGCAAACAGGAUUAGAUA